GUUAGUGGCGCACGGGUGAGUAAUAUAUAGCUAAUCUGCCCCUUGGAAGAGGACAACAGUUGGAAACGACUGCUAAUACUCUAUACUCCAUUUUGUCUCAAGAUAAAAUGGGAAAAUGUUUUUCGCCAAGGGAUGAGGCUGUAUCGUAUCAGCUAGUUGGUGGGGUAAUGGCUCACCAAGGCUAUGACGCGUAGCUGGUCUGAGAGGAUGAUCAGCCACACUGGAACUGAGACACGGUCCAG
rnacentral:rRNA from 1 species